UUUGGACAUGGGGGAAACCCUGNCCAGCCAUGCCGCGUGAGCGAAGAAGGCCUUAGGGUUGUAAAGCUCUUUCGCUAGGGACGAUAAUGACGGUACCUAGAUAAGAAGCCCCGGCUAACUUCGUGCCAGCAGCCGCGGUAAUACGAAGGGGGCUAGCGUUGUUCGGAAUCACUGGGCGUAAAGCGCACGCAGGCGGAUUGAUAAGUCAGGGGUGAAAUCCCGGGGCUCAACCUCGGAAUUGCCUUUGAUACUGUCUGUCUUGAGUUCGGGAGAGGUUGGCGGAAUUCCUAGUGUAGAGGUGAAAUUCGUAGAUAUUAGGAAGAACACCAGUGGCGAAGGCGGCCAACUGGCCCGAUACUGACGCUCAUGUGCGAAAGCGUGGGGAGCAAACAGGAUUAGAUACCCUGGUAGUCCACGCCGUAAACUAUGGAUGCUAGCCGUUGGAGAGCUUGCUCUUCAGUGGCGCAGCUAACGUCUUAAGCAUCCCGCCUGGGGAGUACGGUCGCAAGAUUAAAACUCAAAAAAAUUGACGG
rnacentral:rRNA from 1 species